rnacentral:lncRNA from 1 species
UUAACCCUGAUCGGUUCUUGCCGGGAAAUUAUAACGAGAAAUGUUUUCGUCCGUUCAUCUUUGGGAAAAGAGGAUGCAUAGGUCAAAUAUUGGCUAUGACCCAAAUGAAGGCAAGUUGCCUGUUUCGUUACGACGUUUUUCUGCCUAUUGCACUGUUAAAUUGUCGCACCAUCGUUUCCGUGGGCGCAUCGCACUUCUGCGGCCUAUCGGCGAUUUAUCCCGUGCAAUUCUGCCGAUUCUUGUUGUCCAUUCUGCUAAUAGACAGAGUGUCGUUUCUAU